GAUGAACGCUGGCGGCGUGCCUAAUACAUGCAAGUCGAGCGAACAGAUAAGGAGCUUGCUCCUUUGACGUUAGCGGCGGACGGGUGAGUAACACGUGGAUAACCUACCUAUAAGACUGGGAUAACUUCGGGAAACCGGAGCUAAUACCGGAUAACAUAUUGAACCGCAUGGUUCAAUAGUGAAAGGCGGCUUUGCUGUCACUUAUAGAUGGAUCCGCGCCGUAUUAGCUAGUUGGUAAGGUAACGGCUUACCAAGGCAACGAUACGUAGCCGACCUGAGAGGGUGAUCGGCCACACUGGAACUGAGACACGGUCCAGACUCCUACGGGAGGCAGCAGUAGGGAAUCUUCCGCAAUGGGCGAAAGCCUGACGGAGCAACACCGCGUGAGUGAUGAAGGUCUUCGGAUCGUAAAACUCUGUUAUCAGGGAAGAACAAAUGUGUAAGUAACUGUGCACAUCUUGACGGUACCUGAUCAGAAAGCCACGGCUAACUACGUG
rnacentral:rRNA from 1 species